UACAGAGGGGGCAAGCGUUGUUCGGAAUUACUGGGCGUAAAGGGCUCGUAGGCGGCCAACUAAGUCAUACGUGAAAUCCCUCGGCUUAACCGGGGAACUGCGUCUGAUACUGGAUGGCUUGAGUUCGGGAGAGGGAUGCGGAAUUCCAGGUGUAGCGGUGAAAUGCGUAGAUAUCUGGAGGAACACCGGUGGCGAAGGCGGCAUCCUGGACCGAUACUGACGCUGAGGAGCGAAAGCCAGGGGAGCAAACGGG
rnacentral:rRNA from 1 species